rnacentral:tRNA from 1 species
AGUAAAUUGGCUGAAUUGUAAGCAAUAAAUUGUAAAUUUAUUUAUAAGAAUAAUCUUAUUUACUA